CAGCGCCACAAGUGGGAAUCGCUUUUAUUGGGCCUAAAGCGUCCGUAGCCGGUCUAGUAAAUCUCUUGUGAAAUCGUUCGGCUCAACCGAGCGGCGUGCAGGAGACACUGCCAGACUAGGGACCGGGAGGGGUCAGAUGUAUUCUGGGGGGAGCGGUAAAAUGCUAUAAUCCUCAGAGGACAACCGGUGGCGAAGGCGUCUGACCAGAACGGAUCCGACGGUGAGGGACGAAAGCCAGGGGAGCAAUCCGGAUUAGAUACCCGAGUAGUCC
rnacentral:rRNA from 1 species